AAAACUUCUGUGUGUGUGUGUGUGUGUGUCUCUCUGUCUGUGCGCCUCCCUCCCUCUCUCCCUCUCCUCCUCCUCCUCCUCCCCCAGUGCCGUUCUUUUCGGUGUGUCUGUUGCUGUUCGACAGAACCCCUUCCCCCUCAUCUACGCCCUCCCUUCGUCACGAUGCCGGUUGUGGAUGUCUCGGUGCUGUGCGCGACGGAAAUCACGGGUGUGUCGCUGCGGAAUUCAUUCUGCGUGUACGUGCGCCUUCAAGGUCAGUCAAUCCGCACGAAGUCCUCCAGCGCUGACCACGUGGGUGAGGUGUGCUUCGGGGAGCGGUUUCGCUUCCAGUACCACCGCGACACGAAACGCCCGGGCCGCAACCGCUUGUUCGUGGAGCUGUGGACCAAGACGCUCUUCUCGCAAAGUUGCGUGUCGGUAGCGUGGAUCGAGAUGGCCGAGCAGCGCUUCGUGCGUGGCGAGCAAACGCGCGUGAACGUGCGCGGUGCCUUCGAGGGCAGGAGGGCCACGCUCAGUAUUGCGAUCACGCCGCUGGACUUCGGCGAGAGCCUCUGCGUCGUGCAGCAGCCGAUGCCGGUGAUGUACGGAGUGCCGGUGGAGGGCAUCCCACUUGCAUCGCCCAAUCCGUACACGAGCGCUGCCUACGUGCCGAACGCGUGCGCCGCUGCGCUGGAUUCAACGUCGUGUGAAAAGCGUGAGGGGCCCACGCAGCCGCCGCAGCCGCAGGCUUUUGUUGGCGCGUCGCUGCCGCCGCCGCUGUACCCGAGCCUCUCGCAGGGCAUGCAGCAUCAGCCCUCUGGCGGCGGUCAGUACUGCAGUGCGGUGUCGACACCUAGCCAGAUCGCCGAGCGCGACCACAGCGUGGACUGCGUGAAACCGAAGCAGCUGUAGGAAGGCGUUGAUGUGCACAGAAGCCACCGCACCAUCCAUCCGCACCUGCUGCGUCGACUGUUACUGUGCAGCUGCCGCGCCAUUUUUUUUUCCAUCGCGUUCAGCUGCUUCUGGGUGUGUGUGCGCGUGCGUGUGUGUCCUCCUCUCAAUCGUCCGUUUGCGGCGCUUGGCGUUGCUGCGUUUUCAACCCUGUCCGGGAGGCAAGGGAAGAGGAGAGCGGGACGGCGAGGGUGCGUGUGCAGGUGUGCGUGCCUCUGCGCCACCCCUCUCCCUCUUUCCCUCUCCCUCCGUCGCUGUGAUGUAUUUCGCUUUCACUCUCAUUCCUUCCUUUCGACUGCUGUGCUGCACUAUUUUUUUUUUUUUGGAGGGGCUGUUGCGCCCCUUCACACGGAGGCGCCACGCCCCACAAAUCGCCCGCCCCCUUCCCUUUCGUUGCCCCCCACCCCAUCUCCCACACACUCUCCUCGGUGUUGAUUCGCUAACUGAUACCCCAAUGGCUGCUCUCCGUUGCUCUAGGCCGAGCAGGCACGUGGGUACGCAUUGGUGGCGAUGAAAAGAGCGGGGGAAGGGAUAUGUGAGCGCGUUUGGUUUUUCACCCUUCCUUUGUGUUCGUGCUCCUUCGUUACCCCUCUUUCGAUGCUCACUGCCCCGCCUUCUCCGAUGCCGCUGAGCAACGACGGCCGCCGAUCUCGCUCGCCCAUUCGUAGGCCUAUACGCAUGUGAAAGUGGCGGCACUCGCUCCUCUCUUGUUCUUCCUCCGUUGUUGCUCGUGCCGUCAUGGAUGGUGAGCAGACACGCCGUGAUGCCCACCACGUGUGACGAGUGAAGAAGGUUGCCCACUGCUUUUGUGCUGUCAUCUCUCUCGUGUCCCUUUGCCUGUGCAGGUGUGUGUC
rnacentral:misc_RNA from 1 species